CAUGAUUUAGCUCAGUCGGCCUAUGAUGCAUAUUGAGUACCCAUUGUUAUAGUACUCAUACUACACUUAUGUACCUUUUUAGUGUAGAUCUGAGUACUAUAUGUCGCCAUUUAUCAUUGUUCAUGCAUUGACUGAUUUUUGGAGAUUAGGUGAGCUUUUGGCGUACGAGUUGCUCAUUUCCCUCUAAUUUUACUUUUAGCCUUUUAUUUUGAGAUAGAUGUAUUGACCUUUCUAGAAUUUUGAGUAGUAUUGAUACUAUUUGAAGCUCUUGUACUAGCUCUACCAGGUCGUGGGAUUCGUAUCUUUUAUUGUCUAUUUUAUCUAUUUAGAACACUUGGUUUGAUUAUAACAUAUGUUUCUUGAAUUUGGGUGUUCGGAAAUUCCUACCAAAUUAACCCUUUGCUUUAGCUCUGAGUUAUGGUUUUGGCCUACCUACUGGCUGAGUUUAGUAGGUUUCAUCAUGACUCAUAAAUUGGACCGUGACAAUUGUGAAUGAAGUAUUAAUCCUUUUAAGUAGUUUACCGAAGGUAUCAUAGUUCUAGAGGUUUGCAUGUCAAGAAUAUGCACAAAUAAACCCUAUUUUUGGGUAGUCCUUUCUAUGGUGUGAUAACCCCUAUUUACUACGAUACUUAUUUUCUGCGCUAAGUGUGGGUUGAUCAACUGACUUUCCUACUUUAUUCUUGUACGUUAUGCUUACAUGUUCAUGGUAUAUGGUUGACUAGGUUUUAAAACAUUAAAUUGGACUUGAAAAAGGAACUUAGAUAGAUUUUACUUAUAUGUUGGUUUUGAUAAGGGAAAAAUGGAUUGUUUUAGUUUUGGUUCGAUUCGGGCACUUGCUAUACUCAUACUUACUUGUGGUUCAAGUCUUGCAGGUAUUUGUUACUAAUUAUCACUUGGAAGCCUCGACUCAAGUUUGGGCAAUGUAUACAAAUGUUGGGAGUCCUCAUGGAUCCUUUCUUUGUGAUACACAGGUAUUGGAGGAGUGUACGGUCUUUUUGGACAUAGCAUUCAUCUCAUAUUGCAUUAUAUAAUCUCCAUUUGCACUUAUAUAUUGAUAUGCACUGCUUGUUGCAAGUACUAUUUUUUGUUUAUCUGUGUCAUGCUUAUGUGGGCUAAUUGGGUUAUACUACUUGUAAUUUGUAUCUUCUAAGCUUAUAGGGGCUCAAUUAGGUUGUAGUUAGAUCAUUAUUAUAUAAUUUGAGGUAGCCUACUCACUUACAUUUUACUCAGGUAUCUACAUAUACCAUGUAUACUCUCUUUCUAUCCUUAGCUUAUAUUUAUACUUUUUUACGUUUAUAUCUUAUUUGAGCUUAGUCGGCCUAUGAUGCCUACUGAGUACCACAUAUUUCGGUACUCGUACUAUAUUUCUACAUUUUUCCCUAAUGCAAACCCUGCUAUGAGUUAUCGCCGCUAAUGUUCACCUCGUGUAGAGUUAUUUUAUAAGAGAUUUGGGGUGAGCUCUUGACGACCGGAUUUGUUCCAUCUCCAUUUGCUUUUGGACUAGUUUUUAUUUUAUAUUCUUGGAGAUAGUUCUCUCUCAUCUCUCUCUCUAUAUAUACACACACGCAUACACAUUUAUCUAGCACUCUUAUUGUAGCUAGUAGCUCUUAUACUUACUAAUACCAGGUCUUGGGGGUUAUUUUGUAUAUUUUGUUCCUUUACACUCUCUUUGUAUAUAUGUAUGGGACUUAUUACCUUUGUUUGAUCCUAUAUCUAGCCCAAUGCUCUUAUGAUUUUUUCUCUCCUUCCACUAGCCUGUUACUUGCCAUUUCUGAAUAUGAGAUUUGGCAUACCUAUAGGUGGGUGUUAGUAUGUGUCAUCAUGACUUAGAUUUUUGAGUCAUGACGGGCCUUUUACACAAUCGUAACUAGACCCGCUAAGGGUCACCAACUUCUACCUCGUGAAUGCGGCCUAUUCCACGUGACCGCAACUCUAAGAUAGAUCCACCUAUGCAAUUGCGAUGCACAAGACCUGUUGCACAUGAAAAUAAAAUAUUGUGGUACCAACUUGGGAAAAUAGUGCCUUGAACUCACCCAAAUUCUUUGGAUUGCAAACCAACAUAUGUGCAUGUCCAAAUUCACCCUAUGAAUAUAUUGGGACCCUCAAAUCACUGAUCUAAACUCGUCUAACCACAUCUUUAACCUUGGUCAACUCUUAUUCUUUAAAGUUAAUAGUUUUAGUUUAAGCGUAUUAAAUACCUACCGAGCCUCUCAUGACCGAACCAAGCAAGUCCUAAAUCAUCAUAUGAAUGAACCUAUAAAAUCUAUAAAUUAUGAAUCCAUAUCCUUUAACCCACAAUGUUGACUUGAUCAGCUCUUAAAUUUUCAAACUCUAGUUUUGAUUUUUAUUCUCUGAAAUGCAACCUAGUCCUUUGGGACUCCUGUCACCUAUAACCACAAUUCAUAUAACUUAAAAUAAACCCACUUGAAGUCUCCAUUAGGGGAAAUGAUUUUAGAGCUCGAAAUAAUUAAACAAGUCGUUACAAUUAUACAUAUUUUAUUUAUCUGAGAUUAUAAAAUAAUAACUAAACACCAUACUUGAUGUGCCGAAUUUAUACAAAAUAACUUUAAAAACUAUCAACCACAAUAUUAAUUAUGUUAAUUUUAAUACCAUCCAUAACCAUCAAGGCAAAAACCAAAUAGCCUCUAAUUUUAAUACAAUUACUCCCUCUGUUUAAAAAGAAUAACCUACUUUUGUUUUUAGUCCGUAAAAAAAAGACUGACCCCUUUCCUUUUUAGCAAUUUUUUAAUUCCAACUUUUCACGUAGCAGAUUUAAGAGCACAAGAGUAAAUGGGCAUUUUGGUACACUUGACGUAUCUUUAAUUUAAAAUUAUAAGAUCUAAAAUUCUUCUACAUUUUCUUAAAUUUUGUAUCAAGUCAAAAUACGUCAUUCCUUUUUAAAUAGAGUAAAUUUUAUUACAUUAUGUACCCCUAGUGCUCCUAUUUUAAGAUAGAUGGGGUUAGCCCAUGCAAGCACGGGCCCAACACACUUGCACCCAACACUUAGCAUGAUUUUAUUUUGAGUUUUGAUAGAAUAAUUUUCUUUUGAGUUUUGAUAGAAUGCAUUGUAUCGAAAGAUUUUUCCAUACAAUCAAGCGCAAUAUUUUAUCCAUUUGUAUUUGGGGAAAAUUGUGUUGGAAUGUAAACUUAAAAUAUUGUAAAAACUUAAAAAUUGGGUAGUGGUAGAAUAUAGUUUAAGAUGUCAUACACCCAUACUAUGAACUAUUAAUUUAAUUCAUACAUUUGUUUAUAUAUUAUAUUUAUGAUUGCACCGGUUAUGACUAUGUGUUGAAAGCUAUGAGAUCAAAUAAACUGGUUUUUAGUAGUGUGUACAACUAUCAACAUAUAACCUUAUGUGUAGUUGAGCUAAGAGUCGGUUAUUUGACUCAUGAGUAUAUAUUGUAGAGUAGGAUCACGUAUUGUAACCAACUAAGAUAUUUUUCAAUCCCAACUCUCUCUCUCUCUCUCUCUCUGAGUGCACUCUUUCCUUUUACACUGUUCAAUUAGUUGAACUUCACUGCCUAGAAUUUAUCAUGGUAUCAGAGCUUGCUGGAAAUCUCUAUAGCUCGAUUUCUCUCUAUUUUUCAUAAACUGCUUUCAAUGUCUUUGCUUGAUUCAGCUCGAGUUACAUUGUCCUAGAAGUAGUUUUUUCUCUCUGUGAUCUCCACAGAAGUAUUUGUUUCCUUCUCUAUGCAGUACUCUAUUACAUUGCACCUUUGUAUUCCUUUGAAUUAUUAUUUCUCCAUUAAUGGUGACUGGGGAUGGUGUUCACAAAAGUUCAGCUAAUACUUUUGUUGUUACUUCGGCAAAUGUCCAAUUAUUAUCGAUCAUAAUCAUCCACUGUACUUACAGCCCUGCGGCACCCCAGGUAUCAUUCUUAUCUCUAUACAACGUAUUGGAUUCAAAAAUUAUGCAUUGUGAGUUAUUAUAUGAAAAUUGACCUCCUAGGCAAGUGUAAGCUGAGGUUUGUUGAUGGUAGAUGAUCUAAGGAUAGGUUCCCUCCUUCCCUCCAUGAGUUGUGGGGAAGGUGUAAUGCUAUAGUCCUUUCAUAGAUUAUGAACUCUAUGAGCAAAGAACUUUUAAGUGGAUUUAUAUAUACGUGAAGUGCCCAAAAGGUUUAGAAGGAUCUGCAGGAACGCUUUGAUAAAGUAGAUGGAUCUAGAAUUUUUUAUCCCCAUAAGGAGAUUGGUACCUUAGCUCAGGGCACAAUGUCUGUAGCUGUUUAUUUCUCUCGUCUGAAAGAGCCGUGGGAGGAGUUUGAUUCCUUAAUCCCCUUCCCUAGUUGUGAUUGUGCUGAGUCAAAAACUUAUGCAACUCAUUUUGAGUAUCAACACUUGAUGCAAUUUCUCAUGGGUAUCAAUGACUCUUAUAACCAAUGGCGUAGUCAGAUUAUGAUGAUGGAUCCACCAUCUAGUGUGAAUAAGGCCUAUUCUCUUAUUAUUUUUUAGGAAGGUCAAAGAAUUUUAGGGAAGUCUAACUCUGUCGUAGGAGGACAUGGAAAUCUGAGUGAUGAUUUAACUUUAUUGAGCAUCAACAGGAAAGGAAUAUUGGAUAAAAAAAAAGUGCAAUCUCAUCACACUCCAUGCCAAAUGUUGCUCAUGCUCAUGUGUUCUUUAGCAGGAGUGGUGGUCGAGGAAAUGUGGCUAACAAGCAGUUUCAUCCUAAGGAUCUAGAUCUAAAAAGAAUUGGUUCUACCUCUAAUGUGACUACUGUCAUUUCACAGGCCACACCAAAGCAAAUUGCUACAAGCUUCAUGGUUACCCAUUUGAUUUCAAAGGAAAAAAUAGACAUACUUUUGAACCUGCAACUACUGCUAACUAUUCAGGUAGCUACACUAACAACACAGGCUACAUUCCUGGCUAUUUUGUAGGUCAUCAGUCUACUCAGAUAGGACAAAGUAAUGUACUGAUGGGCACUCCCAACAUCAGUGUUGGCUCUAUGGAUAGAGUAAGUCCUGCAUAGAUUAUUGCACAAUAAUUCACUCAUGACCAAUAUUUGCAAAUCAACUAAUUGCUUGACAAAUGAACUAAUGGUAAUUCAGUGACAAGAGCUUCAGGUAUGAUGGUUGUACCUAUAGCUUAUCAUAAUAUUGAGUUAAAGUGGAUAGUAGAUACUGGAGCUUCUAAACAUAUGGUUAAUAAUAUGAAUAUAUUGACUAAUACCACUAAGAUGAAAGCAAAUAAAGGUCGAGUUCACUUACCAACUGGUGUAUUUACUAGUGUCAGCCAUAUAGGUCACUCACAUGUUCUUAAAAGGUGUCAGAUCACAGAUGUAUUACAUGUUCAUGAGUUUAAGUAUAAUCUAUUAUCUGUGUCCAAGCUUACAAAAAAAUUAAAUUGUUGUGCCAAUUUUUAUCCUGACUUCUGCCUCUUCCAAGACCUCUCAAGUGGGAAAAUGAGGGGUAUUGGCAGACUGGAGAAUGAUCUCUAUGUGCUAAAGGUUGAUUUCUUACUUUAAAGUUGCCUCAGUCUUUCUGCAGAUGUGAAUAAAGCAUGUGUAGUAAAAGUACCUUCAUCUGAUAUAAAUCUAUUUCUUUGGCAUAAGAGACUAGGUUAUGUACCAUUUAGCACUCUGCAUAAGCUGAAUUGUUUAAAAAAUUUACAAGUUCAUAAGAACUCUGUUGAAUAUUUUACUGUUUGUCCCUUGGGUAAGCAAUCCAGGCUUCCUUUUCCUUUAAGUACUACUUCCACUACUACUUGCUUUCAGAUCCUACAUGGUGAUUUUGGGGUCCUUAUAGAGUUCCUACUCAUAAUGGAAAAAGAUACUUUCUCACAUUGGUUGAUGAUUUCUCAAGGUGCAGAGGUAGCUGGCACAAGAAGUGAUAAGGACUAUGUACCAUCUCAUAGUGAAGUAGCUGCUUCACCUGUUUCUCAAGUUUCUACUACACCUGCUUCCUUCUAGAAUCCCACAAAAAUGGCUAAUAUGUCUUGUUCAUCUAUUUUACCACCUCAUCCUCAGAGUGUGAAUGACAUAUCUGGUCUACUUACAUCUUCAGAAGCUCCUGAUUAGGGUGAUACUGAGUCCAUUAUACCAUUAAAUGAAGCUGGUAUCGGAAGAAGGUCAUCUAGACAAAGCAAACCACCCAUCUGGUUACAAGACUAUGUGGUUAAACAUGGUAAUAAGUCUUGUAUCUAUCCACUCUCUAAUCGUGUAACCUACUCCUCGUUAUCCACUUCAUAAAAUACUGCUAUGGCAGCCUACUCAGCUAUCCCAGAACCAAAUUCCUCCCCUGAAGCUGCAGCAACUCCUAAGUGGAUUGCAGUUAUAUAGUCAGAUAUUACUACUUUAGAAGAUGAUCACACCUGGAGUAUUGUUGAUCUACCACCUGGAAAAUAACCCAUUAGGUGUAAAUGGGUAUUCAAGGUAAAAUACUUAGCCUUAAGAGCUGUUGAGAGGUACAAAUCAAGGCUUGUAGCUAAGGGGUUCAAUCAAAAGAGGGAUAGACUACACAGAGACUUUCUCACCUAUAGCAAAGAUGGUUAUAGUCAGAUCAGUGUUAGCAGUUGUAGCUUCCAAAAACCAGCCUAUCUAUCAGAUGGAUGUACAUCAUGCCUUCUUACAAGGUGAUCUUCUGGAAUAUGUCUACAUGGUGAUACCUCAAGGCUUUUGCAGACAAGGGGAGUCUGGCAAGGUCUGCAAGCAACAUAAGUCUCUAUAUGGGUUAAAGCAAGCCCCAAGGAAGUGGAAUCUCAAGCUAACCAUAGCCUUGUUGCAGUUAGGAUUUAUCCAAAGUCAUUAUGACUACUCACUCUUCACAAAGAAGGAAGAAAGUAGCCUGGUGGUUGUAUUAGUCUAUGUAAAUGAUCUCUUGGUAACUUGUAGUAGUGAUGAUCUAAUUGUUAAGACAAGAAAUAAUCUAAUCAUGAAGUUCAAAUGAAAUAUUUGGGUGAGUUAAAAUUC